rnacentral:rRNA from 1 species
GACGAACGCUGGCGGCGUGCCUAAUACAUGCAAGUCGAACGCAGUGGGGACGGGGGAGUAACACGUGGGUAACCUCCCAUCAGAGGGCAUAACACUUGGAAACAGGUGCUAAACCGAUACUGCUGGAUGGAGCCGCGGUGCAUGAGGUAGUUGGUGAGGUAACGGCUCACCAAGGCCACGAUGCAUAGCCAACCUGAGAGGUGGAACGGCGCCAUGGGGAUUGGGACAGGGCCAAACCCCCUACGGGGGGCAGCAGUAGGGAGGCUUGGGCAAUGGAAGAAGGUCUGACCGAGCAACGCCCGGGGAGGGAAGAAGGUUUCCGGAUCGUAAAACCCUGUUGUUAGAGAAGCGGAAUCUAACCAGAAAGCCACGGGUAACUACGUGCAGGCAGCCGCGUAAUAC